rnacentral:rRNA from 1 species
UACGGGGGGUGCAAGCGUUAAUCGGAAUUACUGAGCAUAAAGCGCACGCAGGUGGCUGUGUAAGUCAGAUAUAAAAGCCCUAGGCUCAACCUGGGAACUGCAUUCGAUACUGCAUAGCUAGAGUAUGGGAGAGGAAAGUAAAAUUCCCGAUGUAGCGAUAAAAUGCAUAGAUAUCGAGAGGAACACCAGUGGCGAAGGCGGCUUUCUGGCCCAAUACUGACACUCAUGUGCGACAGCGUGGGAAACAAACAGG